rnacentral:snoRNA from 1 species
AAGUUAGAAGAUGAAGACCUCGUCACUUAUAUUCUUACCGGUCUUGGUGAGGAUUUUGAGUCAGUCGUGACGGCGAUUGCGACAAGGGUGGAACUGAUCACGGUUCCUGAACUUUAUUUAUGCACAACUCAUCAGCCAUGAGC